GAUUAACGCUGGCGGCGUGCAUAACACAUGCAAGUCGAACGAUGAAACUUAAAUGAUUUCUUCGGAAUGAACUUAAGUGGAUUAGUGGCGGACGGGUGAGUAACGCGUGAGUAACCUGCCUUACACAAGGGGAUAGCCGUUGGAAACGACGAAUAAUACCCUAUGAAACUAUCACUUCGCAUGAAGCGAUAGUCAAAGUGUUAGCGGUGUAAGAUGGACUUGCGUCUGAUUAGCUAGAUGGUGAGAAAAAAGCCCACCAAGGCAACGAUCAGUAGCCGGCUUGAGAGAGUGUACGGCCACAUUGGGACUGAGGCACGGCCCAGACUCCUACGGGAGGCAGCAGUGGGGAAUUUUGCACAAUGGGGGAAACCCUGAUGCAGCGACGCCGCGUGAUUUAGAAGGCCUUCGGGUUGUAAAAAUCUUUUGUAUAGGAAGAAAAUGACAGUACUAUACGAAUAAGGUCCGGCUAAUUACGUG
rnacentral:rRNA from 1 species